rnacentral:lncRNA from 1 species
CCAAUGGCCUAUAGUUCCAUCCCAAUUUCAACAACUUCUUCGAGUUCACCUGGAAACAAGUUCUGCAUUCUUGCAACAAAUUCCUCUGUCCUAAUUGAGUAAGCACAACAUAUAUAUCUCCUGUUGGAUUCCGGAUUUUCAUAUAAAAGUAAUAUAGCCUCUGAUAAAUCGCGUACAUCUGUGUAUGGACGUCUAAGGUUCUCCAUCGUGUCCCCUCCCG